rnacentral:rRNA from 1 species
UACGUAGGGCGCAAGCGUUUGUCCGGAAUUAUUGGGCGUAAAGAGCUCGUAGGCGGCUUGUCACGUCGGUUGUGAAAGUCCGGGGCUUAACCCCGGGUCUGCAGUCGAUACGGGCAGGCUAGAGGUAGGUAGGGGAGAAUGGAAUUCCCGGUGUAGCGGUGAAAUGCGCAGAUAUCGGGAGGAACACCGGUGGCGAAGGCGGUUCUCUGGGCCUUACCUGACGCUGAGGAGCGAAAGCGUGGGGAGCAAACAGG